CUCCCUCCUGCCCUACCCCACCAGGUGCAGAGCACGGUGUUCCUCCAAUGCCUUUGGCCGGUGUCUUCCUCCGUCCUCUUCUUGCGCCUGCUGUUCUGGUUCUGAUUCUGUCGUGAGCUCGUCCUGGUCACUCCUCUCCGAACCCUCCUGGUGUGGACCUGGCUGCAGAACUCUCGGCAGGCGCUUGCUGGUCGGUUUGUGCUGCAUCUGCACGGACACCUUUAAACAGGAAUACAGUGGCACGGGGAUGCUUCCUCAGCAGACUCCAUCAGCCACAGGAUUGCCCAGGCUUUCCAAUCCACCUUCCUCAGCCUCCCAGAGUGUUGGGAUUCCUUGUCAAUGUGCCUGGCCUCCACAAAACGUGUGUACGAGUGACACUGUCACGGGAGCAGUGCAGACGAGCACACCACGCAGAGGCAUAGAGAGGAGGCCACAGUCUGGUGGGACAGGAAGCCAACCACACAGCCCCAGCCUGGAAAUGAUGCCACCCAAAGUCUGUAGGGAACAGUGAGGAGAGCUGCUCUGACAUGACGCUGUGGCCCUGGGGGAGGCAGCAUCUUAGCUUGGUUUGGAGCGUGGAUCUGAGUCCGGGUAGAGGUUGGGGAAUAUUCCAGAGAGCAAAGAGAAAGCAGCUUGAAUCAAUCGCAGAGGAGGCAGCACAUGGGGGAAGCAGCAAGCUCUUCAGUUUUAGCUUGCAAGUCAUUUUGAGGAAGAGAAAUGUGAAAGAAUAUCUACAUGGAGGCAGGAAAAAAGUUACAGACAAAAGCCGAGUGCUUAUGCACCUGUAACUCCAGCUCUCAGGAGACUGAGGCAGGAGGAUUGCAAGUUCAGGCCAGAGUGGGCUACUCUGAGAUCCUGUUGCAAAACACAAAACAAGACAAAUCAACGUAAACAAAAACCAGAACAAGACAAAAGUUGAAGACAAGAUCACUUUGGAGGCUCAGUUUAAAGUGACUCUUGUUAAGAAAAUAAUGAAAGAAGAUGGUAUAAAGCAUUCUGCCAGGGUAAGGGUUGGGAACGGAAAUAAAGCUCUCACAUGGGCAGCACCUUGUAUUUGAAAUCGGUGUAAGGAUGAAGAAGACAAUGCUGAGCUGGCUCCCUGGCAGUUACUUACUUACUUUGCAGCCCUGGAGAUUGAACCCAGCGUGUUCACACUGAGCUCCAUCCCCAGCCUUUAAACUUUUUUAUUUUGAGGCAGAGUCUUGCUGAGUUGCCCAGGCUGGGCCUGAACGCUCGGUCCUUCUGCCUCGGCCUCCCAGAAUGCUGGGAUGACAAGCGUUCAGCACGUAUUCCACUUAUUUUUCAUUUUUAAAUGAUGCCCGUCACUGUUCUCAUAGUCACAUACAGCCUAGGUCUGCAACAGCAGGAGCUGAAAAGCGCUUGACCAUGCGACAGGUGGUGGGAGCGUCGGAGUGGGCAGAGCGGGCUGUGGG
rnacentral:lncRNA from 1 species